rnacentral:rRNA from 1 species
UUGACCUCGAAUCAGGUAGGGAUACCCGCUGAACUUAAGCAUAUCAAUAAGCGGAGGAAAAGAAACCAACCGGGAUUACCCUAGUAACGGCCAGGUGAAGCG